CCCCUACGGGGAGGGGCGGGGCUACCAACGCGGUGGGCGGAGCCAAAACAGGAGUCGCGCGACUUUAGGCCUGGUUUUCAGGCGGGCCAUUGGCAAAACCAAGAGAGCUGCUGGGGGGCGAGCGCACAGGUCAACGUUCGAGAUCCGUCUGUCACAGUGGUGGGGGUGCUCGCUCGCCUUCCACGCGAGCCGGCUCUGUUUGGAGCCCCCUAGAAACAAUAGGCAAAUAAUGUGGCUUUCGCUCUGCUUCCCGAGCUCCCGGUAGAACGGCAAGGGGCACCUGCUCACGGAAGAGUGGUUCCCGUGGCGCCGGCCUGAACAGACCUGGUAUCACUUGAACACAAGCAUGCUUUUAGAAGAGGACUACCACGAACGAACGUGGACGCAACCAGUGAACAGAAAUGUGUAUGCUGCCAUUAACGCGAGUGUAACGGAAAACUCGCGCUACUGCGUUUUUGUUGGUCGCAGGGAAAGAGUAUGCUUGCAAACGUCUGAGUCUGUCGUCCGCAGCCUCGUCCUUUAUUUCACUAUGCCGGGAGGUUUUCUUCGUAGCCGUAGAGGUGAGAAGCCAGUAAUUGUUUACCAAAUGGAGUCCUAAACUGGCUUCCGUUCUUAGCAUUCCUUUUUAUAGAUUGUUCUUUACGUAAGUAGAAGUGAAUGAAAGGGAUUCUACCAUCGUGUCACGGAAUUGCUUGAAUCCCUUCUGAAUUGUUUGCCAAAAAUAUAAAGCAAGGAAAAAUACAACGCUCUAUCGCGAUUUUAUGGUACCCUGGCUUUCCCAACACGAGUAUUUCAAAUUGUCGGAUUGUUUGGCGCCUUGAGGUUUUUACCGUAAUAAGAAUUUAUAACAAGCAAGAGGUAUACCUUCCUCUUGUAAAUAGAGAGAUGGGAGGUAAGAAAGGACAAAAGGACAUAAUGACUUGACAGCUAAGCCACAAAUCAGUUUAGAAAAGAUAACGUGCAAGUUGAGGAUCUGGAAAUUCAUUUUAAAACUAUUUGUGCCUGAGCACCUCUUGGAAAUUCUUGUAUCCCCAGGAGCACGCAUUUCCUUUUGAAUACCUCAGAUCUCAAUCCCUUAUGUGAGAAUCCCGUACAAGUGCCUACCCAGACCCAUGUGUCUUUCGAAGAAAACCAGAGUGAGCACAUCGCCCAUGCGCGUUGCAGCUUUUCAGCUUUAUGGAGGUAGCUGUGCUAUUCCUUUCCACCGUCUUCGUCUUUUCUCUGGCUCCUUCAGAAGCAGAGAGAUCACCGAAGAGCAAUACAGACCAAGAAAAGGGGACUAAACUUACUUCAAGGAAGAUCUUUUAACCGGACUCUUCUGAUCUUAUCCUCCUAUUUAACAGAAAUGCCCUCAAGGAGAUGAAACUAUACUGAUAAGCCCUUUGGUGAACAUGCCUAGGGACCAUCCCCCACCUUAAAAACUCUACCUUUUGAAGUAUCAGUAUUCUGAUCACCCAAAAGCAAUGGCAUCCUCUGUGUCCUAAUUGACAUUCUUCCCCCUUCAAGUCAAUGUGUGUCUUUAAUAUGGGCUUCUAGGGAAAAUGCUUUUAACUCAAGGAACAAUUAGAAUGGAAGGCAAAGAUGUCUUGGGAGGUUUUGGUGUCAUGGUGCCUAAAACUAGGAGUCAGAAAAACCCAAGUUCUUGACUUGGCAGAGAGAUGACAAGACCCCCCAGGAGAAAAGUUGGGGUGGGUGGGGAGUUGCUUGGGAGUCACAGCAACACUGGUUUGCUAGAACUCCCCAAAGCAUUCUGACCCAAAGACCUACUUCGUGCAGGGCUGGGAGCACUGUAAAUAACAGCACACAUGGAACUGGCAGCACUCUCUAAGGGCAAAGCACCCGUGUCUACUGGACCCUUAUUUGAGGACUGUUUGUACUUUAACCAGAUAACUGGUUAAUAGCAGCAUUCGCCCUAUCGCAUGGAAACAUGGCUAUUUUCUCAGAGUAAAACAGGCACUAAUCUUGGGACGUGGCCCAACUCACUCCUCUGGGAAGGGGGCGGGAGAUUCUGACUCAGCUGACAACAGGAGUCCAGCCAGAAGGGCAAAGGACAGUGUCCUCAGGUAAGGCACUCCGUGUGUAGGGUAUCUGUUGUUUGGUGGUGACCUCUACUCACCAACCAGCCUGGAUGUCAGCGACAGGCUCUUGGUCCUCAAGGAAAGAAUAAGCAAACGUAAGGCAAAGCUCCAGUCCCAGGAGAAGGAUGGGUAGUUAGUCUAGAGUAGUACUGCAUGAGGCCUGUUGUCUUAAUAUAAAUAUAAAUAGCAUCCCCUUUCGUCCCCAGUAGGUUCCUACUUAGGACAAUAAAUCAUGUCAUUCUUGGCAUCAAAUGCUUGGAAGGAUACCAGGAAAACAACUUUUGCAACAGGAACCACGGCAGAAGCAAUCUUUAAAAAUUGGGAUAAAGGGAGGCCUGAAAUGGAAACUGUGGCCCAGGACCACCUGUGAGGGCUUGAGCAGACUGCUCUUGAGGUUACUGGGAAUCUCAGAGUCAGUACAAACCACAUCCACAUCAGAAUAGCUAUAAGGGUCUGUGUCCUUACUCACAAUGACCACUGCCAUCCUUCAAAAUGCAGGGGGGACAUAGUCUUCCUACAUCGUGUUUCUACUGUCAGCCUCAUAGCUGAGAAUGACUGGUAUUUACUUAACCUAUUAAAGUAGUGUUAACUAUGCCUGAAGAAGAGAAAGUUUCGCACUGGGUAUUCUUCCCAAAUCUAUGGGCAAGACCCUGUGCUACAUAAUACAGAGAUUACAAGUUGCUUGUAAUCUAAUUGGAAAGUUAACUAUGAGUUUUAAGUGGAAGUCUAAGACAGCAACAGAAGAGUUAUCACAACAUAGCGCCCAGCUGAUAGUCAAACCAGUUGUGUUAGCUGUGGUCUUUAUGACAGUUCAGAGACAGUAACCAGUUCAGGUUGAGAUGAAAGAAAACUUAUGAAGUAGGACACCCCAGUCAUUAAGGACUUAUUUCUUGUCAGAUAUUUUCACAUAUGGAUUCUUUUUUUUUUUAAGAUUUAUUUAUUUAUUUAUUUGAAAGAGAGAGAAUGAGAGAGAGAAAGAGAGAGAGCACAUGAGAGGGGGAGGGUCAGAGGGAGAAGCAGACUUCCUGCUGAGCAGGGAGCCCGAUGUGGGACUUGAUCCUGGAACUCCAGGAUCAUGACCUGAGCCGAAGGCAGACGCUUAACAACUGAGCCACCCAGGUGCCCCGUCACAUAUGGAUUCUAAUGUCUCAGAACAACCUUAUGAAAUGGGUAUUAGUACCUGUAAUCUACAAAGGAGGAACCUGAGGAUCAGAAGGUUUAAGGAACUUGUUCUGAGUUACUCAGCCAGGAAACAGAAGAGAAAGCUUGAACCCAUGUGUCUGUAAAGGAAAAAAACAAAAAACAAAACCUACUCCUUCUGUGUCACCCCUACUCUCAACACAUCUGACACCAGAUGUGUGGGCUUUCCAUACACCCACCAAUUCUGGGACACCACCUGGGUGUCCCACAAUUUUAUUCCAUUCUGACAGUAUCAACCUGGGAAUAGUGUCAGAUCCCACGGGUUAAGUAAGGGCUGUCAAAUGAUAAAAAUAAAACAAUUUAGUAACAAGUUUGAUGUCCUUUAUGCACUGGAAAGCAGUCCAUGGUUGGGAGAGUCCAGUGCCUCCCAAGCAGUGGAGCACUCUUCCCCAGGGCUGUUUGGGAAAGAACGGUUUUUAGAAAAUGUCAGGAGAGGCAACGUGGAAACAGGGCAUGAUUGGCCAGGAGGUCAGGGAUUUCCUUAUAAGACUAGCAGGUCAGUCAGAAUAAGGAAAAAGUAUUUGGCUUAAGUUGAUUGGCUGAGGUUGCAUAUCUGCCCUUAUUUAGAACAAGGAAAUAAUUACAGUUUCUUGGCAGUUGAGAAUUGGCUGGUGGGAUAUACAGCGAUUCUGGACAAGCAAGCAUUUACAGGGAUGCAAAAAUUAUCUAAGUUUUAGUUUGCUGAUGUGGUACCCCAGGCCAGACUGGCUCCAUCUUGGGCCUCGCCAUUUAU